rnacentral:rRNA from 1 species
CCUUGUGGUCGGUGUACAGGUGGUGCAUGGCUGUCGUCAGCUCGUGUCGUGAGAUGUUGGGUUAAGUCCCGCAACGAGCGCAACCCUUGUCCUGUGUUGCCAGCAUGCCCUUCGGGGUGAUGGGGACUCACGGGAGACUGCCGGGGUCAACUCGGAGGAAGGUGGGGACGACGUCAAGUCAUCAUGCCCCUUAUGUCUUGGGCUGCACACGUGCUACAAUGGCCGGUACAAUGAGCUGCGAUACCGUGAGGUGGAGCGAAUCUCAAAAAGCCGGUCUCAGUUCGGAUUGGGGUCUGCAACUCGACCCCAUGAAGUCGGAGUCUCUAGUAAUCGCAGAUCAGCAGUGCUGCGGUGA